GGGUUGUGAGGUUAAGAGACAGAGCGUACACGGUGGAUGCACUGGCAGUCAGAGGCGAUGAAGGACGUGCUAAUCUGCGAAAAGCGUCGGUAAGGUGAUAUGAACCGUUA
rnacentral:rRNA from 1 species